rnacentral:rRNA from 1 species
CCUACGGGUGGCAGCAGUGGAGAAUCUUUGGCAAUGGGCGCAAGCCUGACCCAGCAACGCCGCGUGAAGGAAGGAAGCUUUCGGGUUGUAAACUUCUUUUCUCAGGGACGAAACAAGUGACGGUACCUGAGGAAUAAGCCACGGCUAACUACGUGCCAGCAGCCGCGGUAAUAAGUCGGUGGCAAGCGUUAUCCGGAUUUACUGGGGGUAAAGGGCGUGUAGGCGGGACUGCAAGUCAGAUGUGAAAACCACGGGCUCAACCUGUGGCCUGCAUUUGAAACUGUAGUUCUUGAGGACUGGAGAGGCAGACGAAAUUCCUAGGGGAGCGGGGAAAUGGGGAGAUAUUAGGAGGAAAAACAGUGGCGAAGGCGGUCUGCCGGACAGCAACCGACGCUGAGGCGAGAAAGGGUGGGGAGCAAACAGGAUUAGAUAACCGAGUAGUC